rnacentral:rRNA from 1 species
CAGGUUGAAGGUUGGGUAACACUAACUGGAGGACCGAACCGACUAAUGUUGAAAAAUUAGCGGAUGACCUGUGGCUGGGGGUGAAAGGCCAAUCAAACCGGGAGAUAGCUGGUUCUCCCCGAAAGCUAUUUAGGUAGCGCCUCGUGAAUUCAUCUCCGGGGGUAGAGCACUGUUUCGGCUAGGGGGCCAUCCCGGCUUACCAACCCGAUGCAAACUGCGAAUACCGGAGAAUGUUAUCACGGGAGACACACGGCGGGUGCUAACGUCCGUCGUGAAGAGGGAAACAACCCAGACCGCCAGCUAAGGUCCCAAAGUCAUGGUUAAGUGGGAAACGAUGUGGGAAGGCCCAGACAGCCAGGAUGUUGGCUUAGAAGCAGCCAUCAUUUAAAGAAAGCGUAAUAGCUCACUGGUCGAGUCGGCCUGCGCGGAAGAUGUAACGGGGCUAAACCAUGCACCGAAGCUGCGGCAGCG